CAAGAACAAAAACACAGUCCCGGCCGGUAGUCCGGGCACAGAAUAACCUGUCAGUAACCUGCCUCCUCGGUUGUCCAUUUUUUGCCGAUAA
rnacentral:ncRNA from 1 species